rnacentral:rRNA from 1 species
AUUAUCUAAUGUUUUUGCGUUCUGCGAGUUACCUUCUGGUGUUCUAUUCUUGCUGCUAAACAGAAACUAAGACAGAUAUUAUUCGAUCGAUUCUGAAUCCGAACCCAGCACACCUGUUGCUCCAUCUACUUACGCAGUCAGUCGUCCUCACCUCCUCUUUCCGUUUUAUAGCAAGGCAUCCAACGUGCUUUCUUAUACACUCACCUUAUUUUGAACAUAAUAAAUUAACUCCUUUAAUACUCCAGUGUUUCGGCUUACUCACUCGUUACUCCCCGAUAUAGAUCUUCAAUUUUCAAUGAGCAUUAAUUGGUGAUCUCCCACCAACGGAGCCAAGCGGGAACGAACCGCUGACCUCCUGAUUGCAAAGCAGGCGCUUUCCCUCCUAAACUAAGGCCCCACAAGACCUCUCAAGACUAAACAAUACCAAUGUGCAGUUCCUUAUCCUUAGAAAGGAGGUGUCCUUCUUCAAAUG